AUAACCCGGAUUGAGGGAGAGGAGAGAGAUUUCUCUGGCAGUAUUCAGGGGUGGAAGACAGUUACCAGUAAAACACAACAAUGCCGGUGAUAAAUAUGGACGAGUUGACAGACGUGGAUAAGGCUAAAAUGGAAAGAGACCAAAAGAAGAUUGAAGUCAAGCUUGAGAGAUGGAUGACGUCUAAGUGCUGUACUGAGUUUAUGGAGGCGGUUCAGGCCGGUGUAGAAGAGGACACUCUGGUCAAAGGCAUCGCAGAAGACAAGAACCCAUUCAAGGAGUUGAAAGGUGGAUGUGUCGUCUGCUGAAGAGGACAGGAGUCAGAACAGACAGUGGAGCUUUUCUUUCACUGAUUAGACCCUCUCUAGUGCCCAAGGACAUGCCCCCUUCCUAGGAAACAUAGCUGGAUCACCAAUAGCUAACCGAGAGGAGAUGGUAAAAAAACAAACAGAUGUAAAUAAAUCUAAAUCUCAUGAAACCAUGUAAAUUAAUCCUUCUAGAUUGUGAUCCCUCCUUGGAGUGAUGCAGGAAAUAAGGGUUGUUUUUGGAAUGAUUGUCAGAGGUUUGUUGGAUGGUUUAUAUUGUCAGUAAAGAGCUUGUCUCCCAUGAGACUGUCUAUAGUCUGAGUGUGCACCAUCUGUUUCAUUAUUGGACAAAACCACAGUAAUUAAAUGAGCUUGUUUACAACUACAAGUCACCCGAAUGUUGUGUGAAAGACAGAGUACUUUUACAGGCUUAUAGACACAUGCUUAUAGACACAAGAUGGUAUUGACAAAUCUGCCAUCAAUGGGGAAAAAAGUAGUUAUGAAAGUAAGGAACAUGUAUGUUAUGGGUAGCUCACCUGAACAUCAUGAAAUCCCACUUUCUAGCCUACAGCUUUCUACUUUGUCUGACAUGACCUACUACUGCAUUUAUGCCGCGUUGAGAACAACUGGGAACUCGAAAGAAAUACGAAAUCACAUCAUGACGUCAAUGAUCUUCAGGUCGGAAAGACGGAUCUCUAGAAAAAGGCCCGCACAGAAAUCGGAGAUUUCGGAGUUCCCAAUUGUUUUGAACGUGGCAAUAGCCUGUGACACUACUAGUUGCGCAUGUGCAGCUCAUUGACGCACACACAACAUAAACUGUUACUUACACAGAAAUGGCUCAGCGACUGAAUUUGGUAGUAAGCCGUCAUUUCUCCAAAUUAACCUCGCUAAGCAGUACAAGGAAGCUGUCUGAAAAUGUCUCAUCUAAACCCAAAACGGCCAGUGGUUCAGAGAUAACGGCUGAUCAUUUACUCUACACACCAGAGCAUUUUGCGUUGAAGGAAUCUCUUAAAAAGAUCAUCGACCAGGAUAUCAACCCCUAUGUGGACCAAUGGGAGGCAGAGGGGAUAUUUCCUGCCCACAAAGUCUUCAAGCUCUUGGGAAAUGCUGGCUUUCUGGGUGUCAACAAGCCAGUUGAGCAUGGAGGC